rnacentral:rRNA from 2 species
AGUGAGCGGGAUGAGCUCAAAUUUAAAAUCUGGCUGGUUUACUAGUCCGAAUUGUAGUUUAUAGAAGCGUUUUCGGUGGCAGCCUGGGUAUAAAUCCUUUGGAAUAGGGUAUCAUAGAGGGUGAGAAUCCCGUCUUUGACUCAGUGCAUGCUACUAUGUGAUACGUUUUCAAAGAGUCGAGUUGUUUGGGAAUGCAGCUCAAAAUGGGUGGUAAAUUUCAUCUAAAGCUAAAUAUUGGCGAGAGACCGAUAGCGAACAAGUACCGUGAGGGAAAGAUGAAAAGAACUUUGAAAAGAGAGUUAAACAGUGCGUGAAAUUGUUGAAAGGGAAACGCUUGACACCAGUCAUGCGAGUGGAAAAUCAGUCUUUUGCAAUGGGGAGUUGUGGGCGUUCAGACCGCAAGGCUGGCGUUUGCUUCAUCUUUGUUGUAAGUGAUGCACUUUUUCAUUUGCAGGUCAACAUCAGUUUGCUUUGCUGGACAAAACCCCAAGGGAAGGUGGCAGCUUAGGCUGUGUUAUAGCCCUGGGGCGAUACAGUGGAGUGGACUGAGGUUUUCGCAGUGUGUGCUCUCUGGGCAAGGCUGACUGGGUGCUAUGGGAUCGUUCGGCGUACAAUGCAUGCAUUUUGCGUCGUGUCUUUUUCAUACUCGCUCAACUCGGCUCUUCCACACUUAGGAUGUUGACUUAAUGGUUUUAAUCGACCCGUCUUG